AAGGCGGUUCCCCCAGGGUGAGGCCUUUCCAUUGCACUACGGUUGGGCUGACCCCUGCGAUUAUCCCUAAUGUGGAUAACUCGGGCGCGUAAUUUUUGGUAGUCGGGACUGCGUACGCGCUGUCCCGG
rnacentral:snRNA from 1 species